rnacentral:lncRNA from 1 species
CACAGAGGGACUCUAUCUGCCCAGGUUCCUGCCUCCAACCCCAGACAACAGAGCUCAGCUGUACACCAGUGUCAGUCGGACGGUGGAAAUCAGCAUCAAAGCUGAGGCAAAUAUCUCCACGAUCUCUGAGCUGCUGUUCAGCGGGCCAUACAACAUAAACUGGACUACAACAGCAGAAGGACAGUACAUCCUGAGAUGGACGCCGGCUCAAAAUGAGGAUGGAGAAAGUUUCCCCAUAUGUUUUGUCGUUCAGGCACUUUACAAUUCAGUCAAGUAUCAGUCAGAGCUUCGCUGCGUCAUUGUGACCGUUGAAAACAGUGAUUACAAUAAUACAACCACUACACCCACAGCAGAAGGUAGCACACCAAAUGCCAUAACAACACAAAAUAUGACUUCUACACCAACUACAAGUCCAUCAACACCUGAAACCUUAAAUGAGGUUGUCAUAGGUCUGAGAAUAAAGCUGUCCUCUUCGUCUCCACUAUCUGAAGACUACAUCAGGAGUACCGUCAUGCAAGAGCUUAAAGAUGAACUGAUCAGACAAGGGAUGCCAUCAGACAUCACUCUACGCCUUGUGAGCAGCGUUACAACCAGCUUGGCCUCUAGGGGAUAGUUGCAAAAAUGUACUGAAAGUAUUUUUUCUGAACUAAUUUCAGGAAGUUUUCUGAGGAUGUUUUUACAGUUUUAGUUUUCAAAAUUAUUUUACAAACAUAUCUCCACCUAAAUUCAUUCUUAUGUGUCUUAAUGAAGCCAAGGCAAUCAAAGUUGCCUUUACGCAACAUGUUAACUGUGCCCAAAGUGGUAUUGUACUACUGCUUUUGGUUGAAAAUGCAAUUCUAAACAUGUUUAAGAGGAUUUGUAAUAUAUAUUCUUAUUCAUGUUUUGGUUGUACUGAGAAUAGCGUGUAUCAAAUAUGAUAAUUCCCAUGAUUCCGAUUUUGAGCAUAGUUGCUAAUGAGUCCUGUUUACCUUUAUUUGUUUAUCUGACCAUGUAAUCUCAUUAAACAUUGUUUCUACUUUCCAUAUGUACAUGAGGGUGUUACUUUAAGUGCUCAGUUUAUCUACCUCAGUUUAAUUUGCCUUCUUU